rnacentral:rRNA from 1 species
GACGAACGCUGGCGGCGUGCCUAAUACAUGCAAGUAGAACGCUGAAGCUUGGUGCUUGCACCGAGCGGAUGAGUUGCGAACGGGUGAGUAACGCGUAGGUAACCUGCCUGGUAGCGGGGGAUAACUAUUGGAAACGAUAGCUAAUACCGCAUAAGAGUAGAUGUUGCAUGACAUUUGCUUAAAAGGUGCAAUUGCAUCACUACCAGAUGGACCUGCGUUGUAUUAGCUAGUUGGUGAGGUAACGGCUCACCAAGGCAACGAUACAUAGCCGACCUGGGAGGGUGAUCGGCCACACUGGGACUGAGACACGGCCCAGACUCCUACGGGAGGCAGCAGUAGGGAAUCUUCGGCAAUGGACGGAAGUCUGACCGAGCAACGCCGCGUGAGUGAAGAAGGGUUUCGGAUCGUAAAGCUCCGUUGUAAGAGAAGAACGAGUGGGAGAGUUGAAAGUUCACACUGUGACGGUAUCUUACCAGAAAGGGACGGCUAACUACGUG